AACGAACGCUGGCGGCAUGCCUAACACAUGCAAGUCGAACGAGACCUUCGGGUCUAGUGGCGCACGGGUGCGUAACGCGUGGGAACCUGCCCUUAGGUUCGGAAUAACUCCCCGAAAGGGGUGCUAAUACCGGAUAAUGUCUUCGGACCAAAGAUUUAUCGCCUUUGGAUGGGCCCGCGUUGGAUUAGCUAGUUGGUAGGGUAAAAGCCUACCAAGGCGACGAUCCAUAGCUGGUCUGAGAGGAUGAUCAGCCACACUGGGACUGAGACACGGCCCAGACUCCUACGGUAGGCAGCAGUGGGGAAUAUUGGACAAUGGGCGAAAGCCUGAUCCAGCAAUGCCGCGUGAGUGAUGAAGGCCUUAGGGUUGUAAAGCUCUUUUACCCGGGAUGAUAAUGACAGUACCGGGAGAAUAAGCUCCGGCUAACUCCGU
rnacentral:rRNA from 1 species